CCUGGUGGCUCAGAGGUUAAAGCGUCUGCCUGGAAUGCAGGAGACCCGGGUUCGAUCCUUGGGUCAGGA
rnacentral:tRNA from 1 species